rnacentral:rRNA from 1 species
UCGAAUCAGGUAGGACUACCCGCUGAACUUAAGCAUAUCAAUAAGCGGAGGAAAAGAAACCAACAGGGAUUGCCCCAGUAACGGCGAGUGAAGCGGCAACAGCUCAAAUUUGAAAUCUUGGCUCCUAGAGCCCGAGUUGUAAUUUGUAGAGGAUGCUUUUGAUGCGGUGCCUUCCGAGUUCCCUGGAACGGGACGCCAUAGAGGGUGAGAGCCCCGUCUGGUCGGAUGCCAAAUCUCUGUAAAGCUCCUUCGACGAGUCGAGUAGUUUGGGAAUGCUGCUCAAAAUGGGAGGUAUAUGUCUUCUAAAGCUAAAUAUUGGCCAGAGACCGAUAGCGCACAAGUAGAGUGAUCGAAAGAUGAAAAGCACUUUGAAAAGAGGGUUAAAUAGUACGUGAAAUUGUUGAAAGGGAAGCGCCUAUGACCAGACUUGGGCCCGGUGAAUCAUCCAGCGUUCUCGCUGGUGCACUUUGCCGGGCACAGGCCAGCAUCAGUUUGUCUCGGGGGAAAAAGGCUUUGGGAACGUGGCUCCUUCGGGAGUGUUAUAGACCAUUGCAUAAUACCCUGGGACGGACUGAGGUUCGCGCAUCUGCAAGGAUGCUGGCGUAAUGGUCAUCAGCGACCCGUCUUGAAACACGGACCAAGGAGUCGUCUUCGUAUGCGAGUGUUCGGGUGUAAAACCCCUACGCGUAAUGAAAGUGAACGCAGGUGAGAGCUUCGGCGCAUCAUCGACCGAUCCUGAUGUUCUCGGAUGGAUUUGAGUAAGAGCAUACGGGGCCGGACCCGAAAGAAGGUGAACUAUUCCUGUAUAGGGUGAAGCCAGAGGAAACUCUGGUGGAGGCUCGCAGCGGUUCUGACGUGCGAAUCGAUCGUC